rnacentral:rRNA from 1 species
UACGGAGGGUGCAAGCGUUGUCCGGAUUUAUUGGGUUUAAAGGGUGCGUAGGCGGCUUUAUAAGUCCGUGGUGAAAGCCAACAGCUCAACUGUUGAACUGCCAUGGAUACUGUAAGGCUUGAGUACAGACGAGGUAGGCGGAAUGGAUGGUGUAGCGGUGAAAUGCAUAGAUACCAUCCAGAACCCCGAUUGCGUAGGCAGCUUACUAGGCUGUAACUGACGCUGAGGCACGAAAGCGUGGGGAGCGAACAGG